ACCCUAGGUUAAGUAGGAUUACCCACUAAGUUUAAGCAUAUCAGUAAGCAAAGGAAAAAAAAACUUACCAAAAUUCCCCUAACAACAAUGAGUGAAUCAAGAAGAGCCUAGCUGGAGAAUCAGGCAUCCUCGAUGUUCAAAUUGUAGUCUAGAGAAGCGUCAUUAGUAGUAGAUCGACCCAAGUCCCAUAGAAAAGGGCACCAAAGAGGGUGAGAGCCCCGUUGUGCCAGGACCCUAUUGUACCACUAGGCAUUGUCUAUGAGGAAAGUUAUUUGGGAAGACAACCCUAAUCAGGUGUUAAAUUCUAUCUAAGGUUAAGUACAUAUGAUAGAUCGAUAGCGAAUAAGUCUUAUAAGGGAAAGAUAAAAAAGACUUUGAAAAGAGAGUCAAAUAAUGCUUCAAAUUAUUGGGAAAGAAGUAGAUGGAGGCUGACGAUGCACCCCAGUUGGAUGUGGAAUGGUAAGAACCAGUACAUCAAUCAGCUCGGGGCAUGGACCAACACAGGCAAUGGUGGUGGCCCAAGCUUGGGCUUUCAAUAUGCCCACAAAAAUGUCAUUACCACAAUCAUGGAAUGUAGCACGUGCUAACUAGGCAUGCCUUGGCACUCGCAUGCUCUCAGUGUCGGCCUACGAGCUCCCUAUUCGACUUGUCUUGAAACAUGGACCAAAGAGUUUGACAUGUGUACGAGUCAAUGGGUUAGGAAACCCGUAAAAUGCAAGAAAGCUAAUUGGCAUGAUCCUUUGAAGGUGCACCACUGAUCGACCUUGAUAUUCUAAAAAAGGUUCAAGUGUGAGCUUUACUGUCGAGACUUGAAAGAUGGUGAACUAUUCUUGAGUGGGGUGAAGCCAGAGGAUGAUACUGACGUGCAAAUUUUUCAUCUAACUUGGGUAUAGGGGUGAAACACUAAUCGAAUCGUCUACUAACUAGUUCCCUUCAAAGGUGCCCUUAGGAUAGCUAGAGCCCUUAGUGAGUUUUAUAGGAUAAAGCCAAUGAUUGGAGGCAUCGAAAGUGCAAUGCCCCUUGACCUAUUCUCAAACUUUAAAUAGGUAGGAUGGCACGACUGCUUCGUUGAGCCACACCACGGAAUUGAGAGCUCUAAGUGGACCAUUUUUGUUAAGUAGAACUGGCGAUGUAGGAUGAACCAAAAAUUAAGUUACAGUGCCCAACUGCGUACUAACCUAGAACCCAUAAAAGGAGUUGGUCAAUUAAGGUAGUAGGACAGUAGCCAUAGAAGUCAAAAUUUGCUAAGGAGUGUGUAACAACUCAUCUGCCGAAUCAACUAGCCCCAAAAAUGGAUGGCACUUCAGUGCAUGACCCAUACUUGACCGUCGAGGCAAAGGCCAGCUUUGAUAGGUAAAAAAGCACAAUAGUUAUCGUAAAAUUUGAGGCACUAGGUCGAGAGAAGCAGUUGCUGGUGUAGAUCUUGGUGGUAGUAGCAAAUAUUAAAAUGAGAACUUGAAGGACAAAGAAGGAAAGGUUCCAUGUGAAUGACAUUUACAAAUGGGUUAAUCGAUCCUAAAAGACAAGGGAACUCGAUUGAAAGCACAUCCGGUACGAGCUUUAAAUGGGAAUCAGGUUAAAAUUCUUGGAUCAUGACAUGGUAAUUGAUGACAAUGUUAAAGUGUUUAGAGACGUCGACGGGGGCCUUAGAAAGAGUUAUCUUUUCUAUUUAAUGACAUGCCCACCUUCGAAACGGUUUAGCCAGAGGUAGGGUCCAGUAGUUAGAAGAGCAUUAUAGAUUGCAUGGUGUCUGGUACACCCUUAGUGGCCGUUGAAAAUUCUGAGGAUCGAGUGCUUUCCCUGUCCGAUCAUACUCAUAAGCCCAUCAAGUCUCUAAGGUGAACAGCCUCUGGUUGAUGAAACAAUGUAGGCAAGGGAAGUUGGCAAAAUGGAUUUGUAACCUUAGGAAAAGGAAUGGCUUUGAGGUUUGGGCACAAGGGUCCUAGUCCCAAACCCAUCGAUUAUUGGUGCACUGCUUGAGCUACUCUUGUAGUGAGAGCGAGUCAUCACGUACCGACCAGGGGAUGGACUAGGAACGGCUCCCUCAAGUGCUUUCCCUGGGCGAUGAACAUUCAACUCAAAACUAUUAUGAAUAAGGGGAAUUUAACUGUUUAAUUAAAACAAAGCAUUAUAAUGAUCCCUGCAGAUGGUCACACAAUGUGAUUUUUGCCUAGUGCUCAAAAUUUCAAAUUGAAGAAAUUCAAUGAAGUGCGAAUAAACGGUGAGAGUAACUAUAACUCUCUUAAGGUAGCCAAAUAUCUCGUCAUCUAAUUAGUGAUGCACAUGAAUGGAUUAAUGAGAUUCCUAGUGUCCUUAUCUACUAUCUAGUGAAACCAUAACCAAAAGAAUGGGCUUGGCAAAAUAAAAGGGGAAAGAAGACCCAUUUAAGCUUGACUCUAGUCCGACUUUGUGAAAUGACUUGAGAGGUGUAGAAUAAGCGACAGCCCUAGACGAAAUUGAAAUACCACUACUUUCAAUGUUAUUUUAUUUAUCCAUGAAUCAAAGACGAUGCACGACCCCUUCUUUUGGACCCAAAGCUAGCCUUAAUUAAUCAAUCUGGACAAAAAAAUUAUCAGGUAAGGAGUUUGGCUGGGGUGGCACACUUGUUAAAAGAUAAUGUAGGUGUCCUAAGUUAAACUCAACGAGAAAAAAAAUCUUAUUUGGAAAAAAAAGGUAAAAGCUCAUUUGAUUCUAAUUUCCAAUAUGAAUACAAAUCUUAAAAGUGUGGCCUAUCGAUCCUUUAAACCUUCAGAAUUUUUCCCUAUUAACUUUCGAUGGUAGGAUAGUGGCCUACUAUGGUGGUGAUAGGUGACGGAGAAAUAGGGUUUGAUUCUAGAGAGGGAGCCUAAAAAAUGGCUACCACAUCCAAAAAAGAUAGUAGGCAUGCAAAUUACCCUACCUUGACACGGGGAGGUGUGAUAAUAA
rnacentral:rRNA from 1 species